CACUAAGUGGCUGAAAGCCAUAAGCAUUGGUCUCUUAAACCAAAAUAUAGUGAAAUAACACUCUUAGUGG
rnacentral:tRNA from 1 species